UGGCUCUGUGGGUGAGGGAAGGUGCCAUUGGCACCGCUGGUGCUGGGGGGCGAGGCAGCGCUGCAGCCAUCCUCUUGGACUUGCCCCUGUCCUGGGCAGUGGCUGGCACUGGACAUGGGAAAGUCUGAGCAGAGACACCUCCCCCUCCACCCUCGGUGGCUGAGCAGGAACUGGCAACAGAGAUGCGGGAGAGGGACCAUCUGUCUCUGAGGGAGCUGGGUCGCCAAGCGUGUCACACAAGAGGGACUGACCUCGGGCUAGUCUGGAUGUCGGGUCUGGGAAGGAAGGAAGCUGCGUGUUUAACACCCUGAGGUGCUCCUGCUCCCAUUUUGCUAGUGUUCUCAACAGAGGUCUUUGCCAGCAGCAGACUCGACCACUGAAGCAGAAAGACCCUGCGGUUGCCCAAGGGUGCCACGGAGGAAGCCCCAAGAGAACCUGGGUCCUAAGGAGAUGAGGUCUGAGAAGGGCUGGGCCGCGCCUGCCCUCCCACAUGUGCCACUGCAUGAACGUUCUACGUGUGCAAAUCCGUCUCCACUGCCGUUAAUCCAAGGCUCGCCUCUCCUGGAACACGUUCCCAGCGUCACCCUCAUCCAGGCGGGGCCCCUCCGAAGCCUGGCUGGCUAAAGCUUUGCCUCCACGCCGGUGCAACCCCCCCUCCUCCCACCUUCACCCCCAGUCACGGCCCAAGGACAUGGCCAGUGACCCGUCAGGAGCGGCUCCUUCAGCAAGCGGACACAAGAGGAGCCCUGUGAUCGCCUC